UGAGGAAUAUUGCGCAAUGGGGGCAACCCUGACGCAGCGACGCCGCGUGGAGGACGAAGGCCUUCGGGUCGUAAACUCCUGUCAAGCGGGACGAAAGCCGGAGGGAUGAAUAAGUCCUUCGGUUGACGGUACCGCUGGAGGAAGCCCCGGCUAACUCCGUGCCAGCAGCCGCGGUAAUACGGAGGGGGCCAGCGUUGUUCGGAAUCAUUGGGCGUAAAGGGCGCGUAGGCGGCUUGGUAAGUCGGUUGUGAAAUCCCUCGGCUCAACCGAGGAACUGCGUCCGAUACUGCCGAGCUUGAGUCCCGGAGAGGAUAGCGGAAUUCCCAGUGUAGCGGUGAAAUGCGUAGAUAUUGGGAGGAACACCAGUGGCGAAGGCGGCUAUCUGGACGGGCACUGACGCUGAGGCGCGAAAGCGUGGGGAGCAAACAGGAUUAGAUACCCCCGUAGUCC
rnacentral:rRNA from 1 species